rnacentral:lncRNA from 1 species
GGAGACGGCCAGGGGUCAGCCCCGGGGCUGGGGUUGGAACCUCACGGACGUUUGAACUCUGGGAUCUGGAGACUGAGACUUUUGGAGCCUCCUGGCUGUGUAGCUGUGGGCAGGAAGCUGCCCCUCUCUGGGCUCUGGUUCCUGUCCCUCCCUGGGAAAUCAUUUAACCUCUCUUUGCCCAGGCUGAAGUAAGACGUCCGGAAGAUCUACCCCCCUCACUUCAUCCCCAAAAGUGACACUUUUAAGGGGGUGUACUGGCACUGGAAUCCUGGGCUUCACGAAUGUUAGGCAAGGGCUCUACCACUGAGAGACAUCACCAGUCCUUUCUAAAACUUUGUUGUGAGACAGUCUCACUGAGUUGCCCGGUCUGGCCUUGAACUUGAGAUCCUCCUGCCUCAGCCUCCUGAGGAACUGGGAUCAGAGGAGAUCUCCACUGUGUCUGACAAGGUUUCAUUUCUUUUUAUUGCCGAAUAUAUUCCACAGCACCCGUGUUCCCUGUUUUAUUUAUGUCAGUGGGUAGUCAUUUAGGUUGUCUCCGCUAUGGGGCUAUGAUGAAUUUGGUCCUCUGUGUUUUCUAGGUUGCAAACAUUUUCUUGCUCUUGCCCCCAGUUUUUACCUCUGUGAAGUGGAGGCGGUAAGAGCCUAGCAGCUGCAUUCACUGAACACACACGUGCUCUCGCGGGUUCCCUCGGUGCCCUUCUCAACAUGCUUGCAAACUUGGGGGUGGGAAGACGUGCAUCCAAUCCCCCCAACAAGAGCCAGGACCCCGCCUUUAUCCCCCAGGCCCCUAGAGCAGCCACCCUUCCACAUGCCAGGGGGGCUCAAGGGGAGGUCGUGUGUGCAUGGCACUUGGCACCGGCCUUGACCCAUGGAAAGCACUAGAAAACACAAUCAGCCUUGCGGACUCAGAGGUGCCUUCAAAUCCUGGCUGGGCCCCCUUCUGCUGAGGGAGUGGGGUGGGGCGGCUCUGGUGGCCGGGUUCCUGUAUGUGCAGAGCACUCACCCAGUGGGUCUCCAGUGCCAAGAGUCUCAUGGCACUGUCCCCUGGCCUUGGGAACAGAGGCUUCUCCUGGGGGGAAGCAGGCUCAGGAGGUGAGGGUCUGCUGGGAACCCAGGACCAGGCAGAGGCUGGGAUUCAGCCCUGAGUCCAGCCCUCAGGUAGACUGAACCUGCCCCCCUGCCGACUGAGCCCCACCGUGUGCCAUGCCCAGGGGUGCCCAGAGUGGGAGCAGCUGACACCUGGGUAAAUAAAACCCAGUGCAUCCAUAAGGACACCUUCACUUAAUAAUUAAAUGAAGGCUGAUAUGCACUGCAAUGGGGACGCACCUCCUCUGGGUCCCAGUGUCCUUAUGAUGACUGUGGACCCAGCGCCCAUUUCCCAUGGAACCAUCUGCUGAAGACCACCCGUCAAAGCCUUUGGGUGGUGGGAAGGGCCUGGCCGCACGGUGGGAGAAGGCCAGGGUGUGGGCCCCUUCACCAGCACCCCAGAGCCAAACAGGGACUCGUGCCUGCAGAAGGGAGGAGGAUGCAGAGAGGCUAUGGGGAGCUCCGCCCGCCAUCACUGGGCCUGAACCCUGGGGUCUUCUGCAAAUGCACCCUCCACCCAAGAGCCCAGAUGCCUGCCGGGCCCCCAUUCCAACCUUUCCACCCCUGACCACCCUCGGAGGCUCCACGUCUCUCCCCAAGAUGCCGUCCCCCAUGAAGCCUCUGUCUUGAGACAUGAUCCCUUUCACGGACACCCUCCCAUCCCUCAUGUCCCCGUUGCUCUCUCUGAGCCUCCCUACCUCCCUCUGCCUCGGAGGUCCUGCCCUCUCUCUGGUCCUCUGAGUCACAUUGCCAGCCCUGUUAAUGUCACCAAAUCAUACACUUAACCUAAUUAAAUGAUCUCUUUUAUGUAUAUUUCACCACAAUAAAAAUAUGAGAGAAACCUCAUCCUCA